GACGAACGCUGGCGGUGUGCUUAACACAUGCAAGUCGAACGGUAAGGCCCUUUCGGGGGUACACGAGUGGCGAACGGGUGAGUAACACGUGAGUAACCUGCCCUCAUCUCUGGGAUAACAGUCGGAAACGGUUGCUAAUACUGGAUAUGAGCUUGCAAGGCAUCUUGUGGGUUGGAAAGAUUUUUUUUGGUUGGGGAUGGACUCGCGGCCUAUCAGCUUGUUGGUGAGGUAGUGGCUCACCAAGGCUUCGACGGGUAGCCGGCCUGAGAGGGCGACCGGCCACAUUGGGACUGAGAUACGGCGCAAACUCCUACGGGAGGCAGCAGUGGGGAAUAUUGCACAAUGGACGGAAGUCUGAGGCAGCAACGCCGCGUGCGGGAUGACGGCCUUCGGGUUGUAAACCGCUAUCAAUUGUGACGAAGCUUUUUUGUGACGGUAGCAGUAGAAGAAGCACCGGCUAACUACGUG
rnacentral:rRNA from 1 species